ensembl:lncRNA
GUUUAGCUGCCAUAAUUGUUAUUAUUGUUAAGAAAUGCAUUUGAUAUGAUUUGUAUAUUUUAUUUUGUCAAGUAAUUAUUUUUAUUUUGUUAACUGCUCAAGGGAAGCACUUUCUGUUUCAUGUUGCAAGGGGGACACUUUUACGUGUGACACAUGUGAUUUGGUUUAUGGAUGUAUUCUAAAGUUGUUCAAGACGCACAUCCAGCCAUAAGAAAGGCAUAACAUCAUACAAGGACUGAAAGGUGACGUUUGCAAAGGUAAACUCUUUUUGUUUGAAGGAACAUUCUUCUUUUUGAUCAUUUUUGUGUUUGUGACGAAGCGGACUCAUUCCCUCUUUGCGUAAAUGCGGCCAGCGAGUUCGACGGUGGGAUUGUAUGGAGUUAACUGAAGUCAAUAAACCCGUCAGUGCUACAAGAACCAUGGUCUCGUCUAAUUCCUGGAGGGAGUGAUAGUCGAACACGGACCUGCUCGGACUUCUCGUGCCCGCCAGCUCAUCAAGACGGAGUUACAGAUAAGCCACUGCUUAGCGUUAACCCUUUGAUGCAUAACCUGGGUCAAAAUUGACCCAAAUCCAAUGGAAAAUGGGUAUCCCCUCAUGUGGUCUACGCAUCAAAGGGUUACGGACACACACGCUCAUCCGUUUUUCAUGAAGACGUCUAUAAGUCAGACACGGAAGUUUGUGAUCUGAAAAGUGAAACAAGAACUGAAAAACGUAAAGGGACUGUGUAAAGCCUGAUACGUGCAACAGUGUUUUCAAGAUAUAAAGGGGCAUUGAUGCAAUUGAUAUUCUGCAAAAACCGAUUCAUGGUCAUAAGGUUAUUGUAUAAGUAAGAAGAUAAAGGUGUGUCUUGUUGAUUUUGUAAAGUAAGAAAGUAUGUGCACAUUUAAUUAAGUUUCAUUUAGAGGAAAGUUUUGAGUUAAAUAAGGAAAUUGUUUUUCUUUACUAAUAGUUCAAGAUUUGAAAUAAGGAGUAAUUAAUGGGUGAUUGAAAUAUAUGAUUUAAUUUAGUUUGCCAAUUUAAGUAAGUAUUCUGUGUAGGUUUUGUAUUUACCUUUAAGAUAAGGCUCAUUGUGUUGAAAUGUUUAGGAACUAAUUUAAGAUGUGGCAAAAUUGUGAAGAAACCCAGAAUGAAGUAGCUGCUUGUGAGCAAAUUGUAGAGCCAGAGCAGAUAGAUGAGCCUAAGACUGUGCAAGAAGUACAGUCUGAAGAACCUCGUAGGGGUGAAAGAUUUUGCACACUAACUGAAAAGGGAAAAGAACUACAAAAGGAAAAAAUUAGUGGCCUUCUACUCCGCUUUGACAACAUUUCCGAGUGCUGGAAAGCCCUGACUAAGUUGGCUAAAAAGGCUGUAGUAAGACAAGAUCCCAGUAAUCUACUGUAGGAACAUAUCACCACUAUUGAAAGGGAAUUAUCUGAUCUAAAUGUUGCUUAUGAUGAAUACAGAAGGAUUGAUAGCCCAUCUCAUGACAUGUGUCGCAAGCUUGACAACUGUACUUCAGUCACAAGGAUUGUUGUGCAAAACGCUCAGUAUCAAAUCCAAGGAAGAGAGGAGGAGAUGCUUUGGCCCGACGCUGGCUCUGUAUUCGCAUCUUCAACCUCCAGUGUUUCAGUUUCUCAUUGCUCCAUGGUAAACUCUGUUCACUCUAAUGCAUCAUCAAGCAAGAGACAAGAAGCAGCUGCAGAGUAUGCAGCCACACAAGCUGUAUUAAAGAUUGUGACUGAGCAAAAAUGCUACCAAGACAAACUGCAAACACUUGAAGCCGAGGACAGGCUAAUAGUUGUAGAUGCCCGAAGGUUUCAUGUUUUCGUGGCUAACCGAAUCCAAAGAAUUAAGUCCACCUCUGAUCCCAAACAGUGGUAUUUUGUCAACUCAGAUGAUAAUCCAGCAGAUCUUGCUUCAAGAGGUCUAACAGCAGAUCAGCUGGUCAUGUCAAAAUGGUUCAGUGGACCAGAUUUUCUGUGGAAAAGUGAGUUACCCACAAGAGAUGCUAAAGUCGAAGAGGUCGCAGACAACGAUCCAGAACUUCGAAAGGUCCAGGUGCUCAACACCAAGGCAAAGGAAGAAAGGACGUUGCUAGAUCGCUUGUCAAAGUUCUCUGAUUGGAAGAGAGCCAUCAAGGCAAUUGUUUAUCUUAAGCGCCAUGCUCAACGGAUCAAAGGUCUCAAGCAAACAACAAAGAAGACAACAAAUGUUGAAGAAAGACAGGAAGCAGAACUGUUCAUAAUCAAACUGGUCCAAGAGGAGGCGUUCAAGGGUGAAAUUAAAAACAUUAAGGAAUGCAAAGAAGCGCAGCUGAAAGACAAGACGUAAACUGCACCAACUGAGCCCGUUCAUAGAUGAGAAUGGUGUGCUUAGGGUGGGAGGGCGUUUGGGAAGAUCUGGACUUCACCCACAUAUCAAACACCCAGCUAUCCUUCCAAGAUCAAGUCACGUGUCUUCAUUACUCAUUAAACACUACCACGAAAGAGUAUCAUCAAGGAAGAGGACUGACUGUAAAUGAACUGAGGUCUAAAUGCUUUAACCCCGGUCUAAAUGCAGUUCAUCCUGCCUCACUCCAACACAGACCAGUGUCUUCACUCAGACUUUGUGAGAAAAUUAAAACUUGAGGCUUAAUCUUUAAAUUAUUAUCACCAUUGUAGGCAAGUUACGUUUAUUUAUAAAGCAUAUUCAAACCCUGCUUAAGCUGAUAAAAGUGAAAUAAAAAGUUUCACACGCACGCGCACACACGUGCCCUAUCACUGUCAUUAAUCAGCUAACAAACAAACACUAGCAUCAGGAGAGCUACCAGAGAGACUAAUGUUACGUUUCCUCACUUAAAAACAGAACAAACCUAGGGUAAUGUAGUGACUUACCUGCUGUUGAGCUGUCAUCGGCGACUCCAACGUGUUUCCAUUUCAGGUGCUGCAUCAUCAUUGUGGUGCUCCCAUACAUCAUAUCACUUUUGUAAAGCUUGCAUGUUACGCAUGUUUUUUGUUUUUUGAAGCGUGAAAUGCUGCCACACUUUUGAGGAUUUCGGUCUGACUGUUUUCUCCGUGUCGGUCAUGUUUGGUUGAAAUUACUCUGAAUUUACUUUCGCUUUGCCGCCACCUCGCUCUGUUUAACUUGCUCUACAGGUGGAGUUAUUUAAAAAAAAAACAAACAAACAAAAAAAACUUUAUUUCCAUUAGCCAGCAUUGACAAAGCUCUGCAGGUGAAGUAGACGCUCCGCGACAUGGCGAGUGACGCACUAAUCGCGCGACACAACGAAUCGAUAAUGAAAUUCGUUGCCAACGCUUUUAAUAAUCGAUUAUUAUCGAUUUUAUCGAUUCGUUGUUGCAGCCCUAGAUGCAGCAGAGCAGUUGCUUUUCACACCUACAACUGCACAACAUGCAGAAAAUACAGGAGAAGCCCUCAAGAUCCAAAGAUGGCAGAUAUGCCUGAGGACAGGAUGGAAAUGACACCGCCAUUCACAUAUUGUGGUAUCGAUUGUUUUGGUCCAUUCUAUAUAAAAGAAGCAAGGAAAGAUUUGAAAAAAUAUGGUCUCCUCUUCACGUGUAUGUGCUCAAGAGCUGUACAUAUUGAAAUGUUGGAUGAUCUUACAACAGAUGCUUUCAUCAAUGCAUUGCGUGUGUUCAUUGCAAUACGUGGAAAUGUGAGACAGAUGAGGUGUGAUCAAGGCACAAACUUUGUAGGUGCAAAAGGAGAGUUCAUGAAUGCAAUGAAGGAUCUGGAUCAUGAGAAGGUCAAAGAACAUGGCUGUGAGUUUGUAAUGAACACCCCAUCAUCAAGCCAUAUGGGAGGUGUAUGGGAAAGACAAAUCAGAACAAUUCGAAGUGUUCUCACAGCAAUCUUAGAUCACUCUGGCAAAAGACUUGACACUGCGUCGCUUAGAAUGUUUUUGUAUGAAGUGAUGGCUAUUAUAAAUAGCAGACCUUUGACAAUAGAACACUUGCAUGAUCCAACAAGUCUCGAACCACUCACACCAAACCACAUACCAAUGAUGAAAUCCAAGAUUAUUUCUCCACCACCAGGACAGUUUGCGAAUGAAGAUCUGUAUCUGUGCAAAAGAUGGCGUCAAGUUCAGUUCUUAGCAAAUGAAUUCUGGAUGUGAUGGAAGAAAGAAUAUCUUCUCAAUCUUCAGGAAAGACAAAAAUGGCAAAGGGAUAAGAGAAACAUCAAAGUUAAUGACAUUGUCAUACUUCAGGAAGAUGGUGCUCCACGAAACCAGUGGAAGUUGGCAAGAGUAACUGAGGUUUAUCCUAGUGCAGAUGGAAGAGUCAGAAAGGUAAAACUGCUACUGAGUGACUCACUCAGAGACAAUCAAGGAAAACACACAACUAAGCAGAUUUAUUUAGUUAGGCCAGUACAUAAGACAGUCUUACUGCUCGAAGCAGAAUGAGUUUGAAAUGUUUCCUUUAUAAAUUGUGUGUUUUAAUCUAAGAUGUAAUUUGAAAUCAGUAAGUUGUGAUUUGGUGGUAGUUUAGCUGCCAUAAUUGUUAUUAUUGUUAAGAAAUGCAUUUGAUAUGAUUUGCAUAUUUUAUUUUGUCAAGUAAUUAUUUUUAUUUUGUUAACUGCUCAAGGGAAGCACUUUCUGUUUCAUGUUGCAAGGGGGACACUUUUACGUGUGACACAUAUGAUUUGGUUUAUGGAUGUAUUCUAAAGUUGUUCAAGACGCACAUCCAGCCAUAAGAAAGGCAUAACGUCAUACAAGGACUGAAAGGUGACGUUUGCAAAGGUAAACUCUUUUUGUUUGAAGGAACAUUCUUCUUUUUGAUCAUUUUUGUGUUUGUGACGAAGCGGACUCAUUCCCUCUUUGUGUAAAUGCGGCCAGCGAGGUUUGUGUCAAAUGUUUACCUUGUUUACUUACUUUAAGUUUAGUCUCACCGCUAAUAUGCAUUUAUGUAUGUUUUGUAUAAAUUUGUGUAUGUUUGACAGUUCGACAGUGGGUUUGUAUGGAGUUAACUGAUGUCAAUAAACCCGUCAGUGCUACAAGAACCAUGGUCUCGUCUAAUUCCUGGAGGGAGUGAUAACAUGGAAAGCUGAAGUGUGGGAUUUUUACCAGACAUGUUUAUUCAGUGCUGAAUAAGCCUAUUGCUGUCAAUUAAAUCCCUCUGUAUUUGCCAGUAUACUAAAAUUAAUUAACUGGAACUAGUAUCAAUUAGUGUUGCGUGAACAAGCAAUGACUGGUCAGCAAUUAGGACUAUGGUGGAACCUUUAGAGGAAAACCCUAGGAAGGCUCUGUGAUGUGCAUUCAGAAGAAAUAUUACAGCCUUAAAAAUGCCUCCUUCAUAAGCACACAUCAGCAAUGUUAGUGUAAUUACUGUUGUUACCAGAAGGGGAAGACAAACGUUUCAUACUGCCUAUCUAGGUGCAAUUAAAGUUUGUCGUACCUAAAUCUUGCAAUCGCAAGUCAAUGUUGUACUUUUUACUCCCCUACAUUAAUG